GGAGAGGCGCACAGCGGCGGAGAGGCGCACAGCGGCGGCGCAGGCGCGGAGAGGCGCACAGCGCAGGCGCUGGCGCGGAGAGGCGCAGGCCCAGGUCCACUCCCCAGCUGUGAAAGGAGGAGCUCUACGGUGACUUUGAAGACUUGGAAACAGGGGACAUGCACAAGGGAAAAUCGGGCCCCGACACUCAGAAUGAAGAUAUAGAGAAACAAGGAAGAAAUUGACCCCGACGAAGAAGAAAGUGCCAAGAAAAAGCAUUUGGAUAAGAAGAGAAAAUUGAAGGAGAUGUUUGAUGCGGAAUAUGAUGAAGGAGAAAGCACAUAUUUUGAUGAUCUUAAAGGAGAAAUGCAGAAAGAAGCACAGGUGAUCAGUGGCCCGUGUGGCUUAUGGACACACCAGAGCUCCCAGGGGAAGUGCUCUGAAAACUCAUCCUGGUCAGAGUUCAGAAGGACACGUGGAGUAUAAGGUCAGAUGCGGAGAUAAAGGGAGAUGGUGUGGCCCUCCUGCCUGGGGUUGCUGAGCAGGUUGCUGGAGACAGUGAUGUCACUCUGAAGGAGACAGACACAGAAACGUGUGUACAGUUGAUGCUGAAUCACGUAGAAUUUGAAGAUCAAGAUGAUGAAGCCAGAGUUCAGUAUGAUGGUUUUCGACCUGGGAUGUACGUCCGCGUUGAGAUUGAAAAUGUUCCCUGUGAAUUUGUGCAGAACUUUGACCCCCAUUACCCCAUUAUCCUGGGUGGCUUGGGCAACAGCGAGGGAAAUGUUGGACACGUGCAGAUGCGUCUGAAGAAACAUCGCUGGUAUAAGAAAAUCCUCAAGUCCCAAGAUCCAAUCAUAUUUUCUGUAGGGUGGAGGAGGUUUCAGACCAUCCUGCUCUAUUAUAUUGAAGACCACAAUGGAAGACAAAGGCUUCUAAAGUAUACCCCACAGCACAUGCAUUGUGGAGCAGCCUUUUGGGGUAAAAUAUGAUUACAAUAACUUGCCUAUUGCCGAGAUUAAACUUUACAGGCUGCGUUAUUUUAGCUUUGUGCUUUUCCUUUCAUAAAAUUCCACUCCUAAGAUGUUUCUGUUUUCUGGGAGCGGGGAGGUGGUUUGGAGUAUAUAUGUAAAUCUAUAUCCAAAUCUAAAUGUCCGUAUCCAGUAUGUUAAACUAGAAUCUAAAAUUUCUGGUUUGCUAUAUUUCUUUUUUUCCUUUUCCUUUAAGACCCUAUCACUCCACAGGGAACUGGUUUCUUGGCAAUACAGUCUGUCAGUGGCAUAAUGGUAACUAUCUUGGACAAUUUCUUUUACAGAUUGGUUUGAGAAAUAUAUCCUGAAUGUGGGUUAUUAUGUACAUGAGACUUUAAGUUGAAAAUUACUCAUUUUUAUUAUUAUAAAGUAAAUUUCCCUUUGCUUUUAAUCUUUGUACAUCCUUUUCAGUAGGGUGUGGGAUUAGAGGAGGGGAGGUGGAAGAAUUAUAAUGGUACAUUUCCUA
ensembl:lncRNA novel transcript